UCAAAAGUUAUAAAAGCUGACAUUUUAUUCAUCCUCAACUAAAAUUUUAUUAUUUUUAAUUCCUUCAACUAUCAUUCCAGUUUCCAGAUAUUCAUUUACCAAUUCUAUCAUAUUUUCAGUUAUUGUUUCUCCUUUGAAAAUAAUAGGAAUCCCUGGCGGAUACGGGACAAUAUGUCGCGCCAGAACUUUACCUUUUGCCUUUUUCAAAUCACACCAAGUAACAUAUUCAAAGCGUUUUGGUUUAUAGUUACCUUCAGUUGUUAAAAGUUGUGUUUGUUUAACUUUAGAAACUGAUUUUUUCGGUAAAAUCAUAUCUUCAAUUUUACGUAAAAGCGAAUCAAAUAAAUACGUAUCAUCAUGAUGCCAUAACGGCAAUAUCGCUAAUGCUUGAUAGUCGUCCGCUAAUUCUAAAUAGAUAUGUGCAUUCAUAAACCAAUUUUGAAUAUCAUGACCUGUAAAACCUUCAUAUUUUAUCAGCAACUUCAACGGAUCAUCAACUUGAAGCAUUUCAAAACCCUUCUUCUCCAAACAUUCGAUUAAUUGCGCUCUCUUAUCAAAAAACACGGUACUAUCAUAUGUUUUAUAGAACUCGGCAGCUGACUCUAAACUAGCCAUAAUCAAAUACGAAGGACUAGAUGUUUGGAAGUAGCUUAGAUAUUCUAUAAUAGUUUCUCUAUAAGGUGCAUUUUUAUGAAUAUAAAGUACCGAGCCCAUCGUUAAAGCUGGUAACGUUUUAUGAAAAGAUUGAACAACAUAGUCAGCUUGAUAAUUUAAUGUAGAAUCUGGAAAUCCUUGCAAUCCAAAGUGCGCGCCGUGUGCUUCGUCAAUGAGUACAGGAAUAUUUAAUUGGUGCAAAGAUUUGAUAACCUCUUCUACAUUAAAUGUUUCACCGUAAUAGUUAGGAUAAGUCAACACAGCAAGUUUGUGACCGUCAUUAUUCAAACGGCUUAAAUUAACUUUAUUAUAAUGAUUCGUUAACGGACUUUGAUGCGUUUCAAUAAAAUGCCCUUCUUGUUGGCUAAUAUCGAGCGCAUGUAAUACAGAUUUAUGUACAUUUCUUGCCAUUAAGAUAUCGCCUUUUUUCUGUGAAAAAGACUGGAUGACAGAUAAUAUUCCUGAAGUGGUGCCAUUCACUAAGAAAUAAGCAUCAUAAUCUGAAUGUUUCUCCACCUGCUUCAUACUUUCCAAAAUGACUUCUUCAGGAUGAUGUAAAUCAUCUAAUCCAGGUAUUUCAGUUUUAUCCAUUGUCAUUGAUAAUUGAGAUAAAUGACCGAUAGUCAUAUUUUUAUGACCCGGAACAUGCAAAGAAAUCGCUUCUUCUUGAUUUAAACUUUCUAAUUUAUUUAAAAUAGGUUGCUUCAUGAUAUACGCUUCCUUUAUUUACACUGUUUUGGAAUUAGUUACUUUCAAAAGUAUUAAUUAUAUAGUAACACUUCUUUGACAAAAGUUAGUGUUACUUAUGCAAUAGCUUGUCUAUUGUAUAAUAAUUAAUUUCCUUUUUGUAUUUCGAUUUAAAAAAUAUUAGACAUAAAACCUAAAAACAGCAGUAAGAUGAUUUAUGAUUAAAAACUAUCUUACUGCUGUUCACUUUUUAUAAUACUUCUGAAUGUCUUCACUUAUACUUCUAGUCACAGAUUUAAACAAUCAAAAGUGCACAUUAUUAAAUUAUCAUUUCCAAAACUCAA
rnacentral:rRNA from 1 species